AAUGUGGCCUCAACAGAGCAG
rnacentral:miRNA from 1 species